rnacentral:rRNA from 1 species
CAGCUCGUGUCGUGAGAUGUUGGGUUAAGUCCCGCAACGAGCGCAACCCUUAUUCUUAGUUGCCAGCACUAACGGUGGGCACUCUAAGGAGACUGCCGGUGACAAACCGGAGGAAGGUGGGGAUGACGUCAAAUCAUCAUGCCCUUUAUGACCUGGGCUACACACGUGCUACAAUGGCCUAUACAAAGGGUAGCGAAGCUGUGAAGUGGAGCCAAAUCCCAAAAAGUAGGUCUCAGUUCGGAUUGUAGGCUGCAACUCGCCUAUAUGAAGUCGGAAUCGCUAGUAAUCGCGGAUCAGCAUGCCGCGGUGAAUACGUUCCCGGGCCUU